rnacentral:rRNA from 1 species
AUUGAACGCUGGCGGCAGGCUUAACACAUGCAAGUCGAGCGGGGUGAUGGUGCUUGCACUAUCACUUAGCGGCGGACGGGUGAGUAAUGCUUAGGAAUCUGCCUAUUAGUGGGGGACAACAUCUCGAAAGGGAUGCUAAUACCGCAUACGUCCUACGGGAGAAAGCAGGGGAUCACUUGUGACCUUGCGCUAAUAGAUGAGCCUAAGUCGGAUUAGCUAGUUGGUGGGGUAAAGGCCUACCAAGGCGACGAUCUGUAGCGGGUCUGAGAGGAGGAUCCGCCACACUGGGAGUGAGAGACGGCCCAGACUCCUACGGGAGGCAGCAGUGGGGAAUAUUGGACAAUGGGGGGAACCCUGAUCCAGCCAUGCCGCGUGUGUGAAGAAGGCCUUAUGGUUGUAAAGCACUUUAAGCGAGGAGGAGGCUCUUUUGGUUAAUACCCAAGAUGAGUGGACGUUACUCGCAGAAUAAGCACCGGCUAACUCUGUGCCAGCAGCCGCGGUAA